GUCACUGUGAUGAACCACCAGGUGAGUGACGUCACUACAGUGAGCCACCAGGUGAGUGACGUCACUGUGAUGAACCACCAGGUGAGUGACGUCACUACAGUGACCCACCAGGU